AUCUUUCUAGUACAAGAAGUAUAAGUGACUUCCAGUCACCCGAUCUUGGUUAAACUCCAAGGAAAGAUA
rnacentral:tRNA from 1 species